UACGAAGGGGGCUAGCGUUGUUCGGAUUUACUGGGCGUAAAGCGCACGUAGGCGGAUUGUUAAGUCAGGGGUGAAAUCCCGGAGCUCAACUCCGGAACUGCCUUUGAUACUGGCAAUCUUGAGGCUGGAAGAGGUUAGUGGAAUUCCCAGUGUAGAGGUGAAAUUCGUAGAUAUUGGGAAGAACACCAGUGGCGAAGGCGGCUAACUGGUCCAGAUCUGACGCUGAGGUGCGGAAGCGUGGGGAGCAAACAGG
rnacentral:rRNA from 1 species